GGGGCCCCGAGGGAGGAGCUGGUGUGGGGGGGGGAGGGCCCCAGUGGGACCAGGGGCCACAAUGGGAACCACAUGGGAACCAGGGGCAACAAUGGGAACCACAGUGGGAACCAGGGGCCCGAGGGGGAAGCAGGGGCCCCCAUUGGGACCCAGGCUGCGGUGUCUCUCAGGGCUACUGGGUGCUGAGAGGCACAGGGGUGACUACCAAAGGCCCCCCCCCCCUCCCCCCCCC